rnacentral:rRNA from 1 species
CCCUUAGAUGUUCUGGGCCGCACGCGCGCUACACUGUUCGACGCAGCGAGUCUUAACCUUGACCGAAAGGUUUGGGUAAUCUUCAGCAAAGUCGAACGUGAUGGGGAUCGAUCAUUGCAAUUAUUGAUCGUGAACGAGGAAUUCCUAGUAAGUGCAAGUCAUCAGCUUGCGCUGAUUACGUCCCUGCCCUUUGUACACACCGCCCGUCGCUACUACCGAUUGAAUGGGUUAGUGAGAUCUCUGGAUUGACGCUGGCUAGGGGGCGACCCUUGGCCAGACUGUUGAGAAACUGCUCAAACUUGAUCAUUUAGAGGAAGUAAAAGUCGUAACA